rnacentral:antisense_RNA from 1 species
CUUCAGGGAGCCCAUGCGCAGCGGUUCCUCGCGGUCCGCCUGCCCGUAGGUGGCCAGGAGCGCCUGCGCCUC